rnacentral:rRNA from 1 species
GAUGAACGCUGGCGGCGUGCCUAAUACAUGCAAGUCGAGCGAACGGACGAUAAGCUUGCUUUUCUGAUGUUAGCGGCGGACGUGUGAGUAACACGUGGAUAACCUACCUAUAAGACUGGGAUAACUUCGGGAAACCGGAGCUAAUACCGGAUAAUAUUUUGAACCUCAUUGUUCAAAAGUGAAUGACGGUCUUUCUGUCACUUAUAGCUGGAUCCGCGCUGCAUUAGCUAGUUGGUAAGGUAACGGCUUACCAAGGCAACGAUGCAUAGCCGACCUGAGAGGGGGAUCGGCCACACUGGAACUGAGACACGGUCCAGACUCCUACGGGAGGAAGCAGUAGGGAAUGUUCGGAAAUGGGCGAAAGAAUGACGGAGCAAAGCGGCGUGAGUGAUGAAGGUCUUCGGAUCGUAAAACUCUGUUAUUAGGGAAGAACAGAUGUGUAAGUAACUGUGCACAUCUUGACGGUACCUAAUCAGAAAGCCACGGCUAACUACGUG